UUUUUAUCGAUUGUGCGUCCGAACGAGUCGAUACAUCUUGAUGAUCAAGACUAUUCAAAUUGACGCGCGCUACCAAUUCGAAGUAGAGAAAAUUUCAAGAGAAAGCCAGCAUGCAUCUGCUUUAUGCAAAACCAUAGGCCUAUUCUGUAUAUAUCUGUGUGUAUACGUCUGAAAAGUUCAAAACUAUUGAAAUGGUUUUGUUUUCUAAGGGUGGUAUGUGAUACGAUUCUCGCAGACAAAUUAGAGGAGACAGGGGAAACGAGGGAGGAGAAAGUCCAAGCACCUUAGACAGAUGGUGUCAUGUAUCAUAUGGAGAGAUUGAAUUUGAAAGUGCAUUUGCCAUUACAACAUUGGGGAUGGACAACAUAGACAUUCAUGAUUGUGAAAGCUAUAAAUACAAAGACUGGAACCAUGUACUGUGCUGUUAAAGAAAAUAGACUAUCUAAGUAGACGUCCAGUGCAUUAUUUCAUUUAAUUCAAAAGUCAACAUUGUGUAAUUUUUUUCAUGGAUGACAUUGAUUAUUUGAUCUGAAUUUGCAAAAAUUGGAUUGAGUGGGAAUAAGUGCUGUGAUUUCAAAUGAAAGCCAUGAUAGACACAUUGCUUUUUCAUCCAGAUGUAAGUAAAAUCAUAAAUGCAUGUUUUCAAUUCAUAUAUUGAAAAUUCAGUUUAUUGGAAAUGACUGACUUGUGGGUAAUUAUUAUUUUUUUUUUUUUUAUAAUUAAAAAACUUAUAUUAUUGGGAACAGUAUAAAUCUAUGGCCAAUUCUCUAAAUUUGAUGUGUUUUUUAUGCAUAUUAAAUCAAUAUAAAUUGAUUUAUUUGUUAUUGAUGGUGUUGCAUAUAGUCAUAGAUUAUACUUUAACUAAAUGGUCUAGUGUGUAGUUUUUUGGCAAGGUAAAAGACACUUUUCAUGAAAGAAACCUACAAGCUACUGAAAAGUAUUAUCCUUUUAGUCACUAGCUGACUAGCUGUAAUUUUAUUCUAAGUAAUACUGGUAGAAAGUGGUGUGGUGUACCAGUUUACUAGACCAUGGUGAUAGUCCUUAUGGUAAUUAAUUUACUGCUUUCAGUGGGUUAAAUUACAAGCAUGCAUGAGAUAUGAAGAAGCACCAGUGAUUACAUUCUUUUAAAAAUAACCAUUGAUAUUUUAAAAAUGAAAUUGUCAUCAACUGAUUUUCUAUCAUAAAUCAUGUAAAUGCAAGUCAUUUCUCUUUUAAUUAACUGAUAUGAAUGCUAGAUGCAAGUUCAUAAUUAAUGUGUUCAUAAUUAAUGUAUUUAUGGCCAUUUGGGAGUUUUAGGGAGGUAUAUUUGAAAGCUGCCAGAGGUUUGCCACAAACUAUAUUAGGCUAUCUGAAAAUGUUUGCCAAAGGUUCGCCGCAAAGUGUAUAUGGCUAUCAGAAGUUUACCAAAGGUUAACCGCAAAACUUCACCAGAGGUUCACCAUAAACCAUUCCAUAUAUGGCAAUCUCAAGUUUGCGGCAAGUUUACCGCAAACUUCAUUUGCAUGGUAAAAAGUCGCCGUAAGGUUGCUGCAAACAGUCUGCCGUAACCUUGCCGCUAAGUUUGCAGCAGAUUCGCCGCAGAACUUCGCCAGAAGCCUUAUUUUUUGGUAAGGGAGAGGAUUGAUUUUUGCGACAAAGUCCUGCACUCUCUCACUAAUUGAAAUUACACUAAAUUUGCAAUUUGUUAUGUAUUCAUAGAUACAAGUAUUGAACUGUUGAAGUAAAAUAUUAAUAUGUAUAUGCUACCCGGAAAAAGGUUUAACCUGUUAACCUCCAACAUAUUUCCAAACUUAAUUUUGAUAAAACAAAUAACCUCCAUUGUUUACGAUUAUGGUGAUUUAUACAACACUUCAAUAUACAGGAUUACAAUUCUGAUUAGUCCCGAUCCACAAUGCUGCUCAUGUUCACUAAGUUCAGUUCACUCACCAGCAUGCAGCAGCCAUGAUUUCGGUACCUACGGGGCUACUUUCACUUUCACAGGAAGUGAAUGCAGAUCGAGGUCAAAUUAACGUCGUUGGCCCUUUUGUUUGGAAUUGGAAACUCUGAGCAUAGAUUGAUCAUACAUGAUGAGUAUUUACUCAAGGAAUUACAUUUCAUGCCCAGAUAUGUUGGGCCCAAUGCGUCUUUGCUCCAACCAUCACAAACUGACAAACGGAUGGUGACCGUGAUACUGAUAGUAACAGCUGAGUAAGGCUACAUGUACCCCCAUCAUCACUGAAAGGCAACCGGGAUGCAGUCUUUAAAUCUGGAGUUCUGGGCAGAACUGUGCAUUUCUGGAACAAUGAUGAGUUUAAAAUUUGUCAUGAAUUUCUACAGUGGCUACAUGUACCCUGACCAUCUUUGAAAGGCAACCAGGAUACAGUGCAGUCUUUAUCUGGAAUUCUUGGCAGAACUGGACAUUCCUGGAACAAUGAUCAAUUCAAGUGAAACAGACUCGGGUGCAAGCAGAAAUUCUUGUAAUUACAGAAUGUAUUCCUUAAGAGAGGCAACAUGUGACCUGAAAACAAUUCUAUUCAGAUCUAUUUAAGGAAUGAAUUCAGUAUCUAAUUCAUCCAAGUAUAUACUGGGUUUGGGCAGUUUGUGCUUUUUUAAACUGCUAAGUGGUUUAUGAAAAAGCACAUUUUUGAACUUGCAAAAGAAAUCAGACCAACUGCUGAUAUACGUGGUUUUCAGUGAGUUAAUCAACGAUUAUCUAUGAAAAGUUAGCUACACUGAACAGUUUCUUUUUUACAUGAGUAUAUAUACCUGAAACCCAUUGCACAUCAUAAGAAUUUUAUUUUAUUUUGGACAGUGCUCUUGUUGUAAAGUAUUAUGUGUAAUGCAUGUGAGUUGUGGACGGGGGUUUGUAGUCAUCUGAGAACAAGGAUUGGCACGUUGGGUGGACUUAGAGAAAUCUUCAUAUGCUAAACCCAGUUUUAGAAGAAACGAAGAAAGCAAACACUAGAUCAGUUCCAACUAAUAGAGUUGUCAAUCAGGAUAAGCAAUAAAACAUGCAGGCAACAACUUUAAGGGGAAAUACUCGCUAAAUGCGAGUUUAAAAUUGAAAUUGCGAGUAAAAAAUCACAAGUGAUCACAACUUUAUGCGAGUGAAAAAAAAACACGAUCUUUUUUCUGGAUUUUCGCGGUUUAUUGGCUGUACUUUGAAGUUUACAAUAAUUUUGUCUUUUGCAUAGAAACGCUUUACAGAAUGAAUAUACAAGUAUUGAAAAAGUAAACGUGGAUCGAAUAAAUAACUAAGGCCAAGGUAAUCUCAGUCAGUUCUACUUCAAGCACACUUCGGGCAUCUCAGUGACGUCUGAUUUAAAUAGCAAGCAUGUUGAUUUCGUCCAUGUCUUCAUGAAACAACACAUGACUGAGUUAGUGUCAUCGUUUCACUCUAUAGCCCAAAACUUCGAGUUCGCGGGGGGUUUUUUCCACUAGAAUUUUUUAGAUGAAAUUUCCAAAAGUUUUGAACAUAUUGUUUAAAUUGGCGCAAACAGUCUCCAAGAUUUCAAACCACAUGAUGUUGUAAAUAGGUAGUAGAUCUCUGGACAGCGAGUACACCGCACAAGUGUACCCUAUGACCCUCACCAUGCACCAUGCUUGUUGCCUGAUAAUUCAUUAAAUUUUAAAUGAAAGAAUUCUCAAUCUUAUUUUCAUUAUUGCACUUUAAAGAAGAUAUUAAAAGAUUUCCCCUAUAUUUUGAUAUAGAGACAUGUUUGUUUUCUUAAAUUCCUGUAAAACAGCAAUCGAUUGAAAAAUGCUAGUAAAAGCUUAAUUUUGCUAGUUGGAAAAUAAUCCACUAGCUAAAAUUUGCUAGUAGUGAAAAAAGUUAAUUUCGAUCCCUGACAUGUUGACCAAAUUGGCACUCAGCUGUAAUAAAACAUUGUAUGUAGGGAACAUGUACUAGAAGGAAAGAGCGUUUAUGUAUACAUUUAGUUUUUAUGUAAUAUUCAUUAAUUAUUAUUAUAUGAUUGAUAUUAAAUAUGUAAAUACUUA